rnacentral:rRNA from 1 species
GAUGAACGCUGGCGGCGUGCCUAAUACAUGCAGGUCGAGCGAACGGACGAGAAGCUUGCUUCUCUGAUGUUAGCGGCGGACGGGUGAGUAACACGUGGAUAACCUACCUAUAAGACUGGGAUAACUUCGGGAAACCGGAGCUAAUACCGGAUAAUAUUUUGAACCGCAUGGUUCAAAAGUGAAAGACGGUCUUGCUGUCACUUAUAGAUGGAUCCGCGCUGCAUUAGCUAGUUGGUAAGGUAACGGCUUACCAAGGCAACGAUGCAUAGCCGACCUGAGGGGGUGAUCGGCCACACUGGAACUGAGACACGGUCCAGACUCCUACGGGAGGCAGCAGUAGGGAAUCUUCCGCAAUGGGCGAAAGCCUGACGGAGCAACGCCGCGUGAGUGAUGAAGGUCUUCGGAUCGUAAAACUCUGUUAUUAGGGAAGAACAUAUGUGUAAGUAACUGUGCACAUCUUGACGGUACCUAAUCAGAAAGCCACGGCUAACUACGUG